rnacentral:rRNA from 1 species
CCUACGGGAGGCAGCAGUGAGGAAUAUUGGUCAAUGGACGAGAGUCUGAACCAGCCAAGUAGCGUGAAGGAUGACUGCCCUAUGGGUUGUAAACUUCGUUUAUAAAGGAAUAAAACGAGGCACGUGUGCCUUUUUGCAUUUACUUUAUGAGUAAGGAUCGGCUAACUCCGUGCCAGCAGCCGCGGUAAUACGGAGGAUCCGAGCGUUAUCCGGAUUUAUUGGGUUUAAAGGGAGCGUAGAUGGGUUGUUAAGUCAGUGGUGAAAGUUUGCGGCUCAACCGUAAAAUUGCAAUUGAUACUGGCAGUCUUGAGUACAGUUGAGGUAAGCGGAAUUCGUGGUGUAGCAGUGAAAUGCUUAGAUAUCACGAAGAACCCCGAUUGCGAAGGCAGCUUACUAAACUGUGACUGACAUUGAUGCUCGAAAGUGUGGGUAUCAAACAGGAUUAGAUACCCGGGUAGUC